rnacentral:rRNA from 1 species
GAUGAACGCUGGCGGCGUGCCUAAUACAUGCAAGUCGAGCGAACGGACGAGAAGCUUGCUUCUCUGAUGUUAGCGGCGGACGGGUGAGUAACACGUGGAUAACCUACCUAUAUGACUUGGAUAACUUCGGGAAACCGGAGCUAAUACCGUAUGAUAUUUUGAACCGCAUUGUUCAAAAGUGAAAUACGGUCUUGCUGUCACUUAUAGAUGGAUCCGCGCUGCAUUAGCUAGUUGGUAAGGUAACGGCUUACCAAGGCAACGAUGCAUAGCCGACCUGAGAGGGUGAUCGGCCACACUGGAACUGAGACACGGUCCAGACUCCUACGGGAGGCAGCAGUAGGGAAUCUUGCGCAAUGGGCGAAAGCCUGACGGAGCAACGCCGCGUGAGUGAUGAAGGUCUUCGGAUCGUAAAACUCUGUUAUUAGGGAAGAACAUAUGUGUAAGGAACUGUGCAGAGAUUGACGGUACCUAAACAGAAAGCCACGGCUAACUACGUG